CCUACGGGAGGCAGCAGUGAGGAAUAUUGGUCAAUGGGCGCAAGCCUGAACCAGCCAAGUCGCGUGAGGGAUGACGGUCCUAUGGAUUGUAAACCUCUUUUGUCGGGGAGCAAGGCCCGCCACGUGUGGCGGGAAGGAUAGUACCCGAAGAAAAAGCAUAGGCUAACUCCGUGCCAGCAGCCGCGAUAAUACGGGGGAUGGGAGCGUUAUCCGGAUUUAUUGGGUUUAAGGGGUGCGUAGGCGGAAGGUUAAGUCAGCGGUCAAAUGUCGGUGCUCAACACCGGACUGCCGUUGAAACUGGUCGUCUUGAGUGAGCGAGAGGGAUGCGGAAUGCGUGGUGUAGCGGUGAAAUGCAUAGAUAUCACGCAGAACUCCGAUUGCGAAGGCAGCAUACCGGCGCGCAACUGACGCUGAGGCACGAAAGCGUGGGGAUCGAACAGGAUUAGAUACCCUGGUAGUC
rnacentral:rRNA from 1 species